rnacentral:rRNA from 1 species
GACGAACGCUGGCGGCGUGCUUAACACAUGCAAGUCGAGCGGAAAGGCCACUUCGGUGGUACUCGAGCGGCGAACGGGUGAGUAACACGUGAGUAAUCUGCCCUUCACUCUGGGAUAGCCACCGGAAACGGUGAUUAAUACCGGAUACGACCACUCCAGGCAUCUGGUGGUGGUGGAAACUUUUUUGGGUGGGGGAUGUGCUCGCGGCCUAUCAGCUUGUUGGUGGGGUAAUGGCCUACCAAGGCUUCGACGGGUAGCCGGCCUGAGAGGGUGACCGGCCACACUGGGACUGAGACACGGCCCAGACUCCUACGGGAGGCAGCAGUGGGGAAUAUUGGACAAUGGGCGGAAGCCUGAUCCAGCAACGCCGCGUGAGGGAUGACGGCCUUCGGGUUGUAAACCUCUUUCAGCACCGACGAAGCGCAAGUGACGGUAGGUGCAGAAGAAGGACCGACCAACUACGUGCCAGCCGCCGCCGUAAAAC